CCUACGGGCGGCUGCAGUGGGGAAUUUUGCGCAAUGGACGAAAGUCUGACGCAGCAACGCCGCGUGGGUGAUGAAGGUCUUCGGACUGUAAAACCCUGUCGUCAGGGACGAAGGUGGGGGCGUUAAUAGCGCUUUCAUUUGACGGUACCUGGAGAGGAAGCCCCGGCUAACUCUGUGCCAGCAGCCGCGGUAAUACAGAGGGGGCAAGCGUUAUUCGGAAUUAUUGGGCGUAAAGGGCGCGUAGGCGGUUUUUUAAGUCAGAUGUGUAAUCCCCGAGCUUAACUUGGGAACUGCAUCUGAGACUGGAAGGCUAGAGUACUGGAGAGGGUGGUGGAAUUCCUCGUGUAGCGGUGAAAUGCGUAGAGAUGAGGAGGAACACCAGUGGCGAAGGCGGCCACCUGGACAGUAACUGACGCUGAGGCGCGAAAGCGUGGGUAGCAAACAGGCUUAGAUACCCCAGUAGUC
rnacentral:rRNA from 1 species